CACAACCAAAAAUAAUUUAUUUUAUUAGCUCAAAUAUUGAAGUACACUUCUUAUACGAUUCCAAAAAUCUUCCCAGGAUCAUUCCUACAUCUUCCAUAUCUUGAUUUAAAAUCAAGAUUCCGUAUAUAAAAUCAUUUUAUACAUAAUCUACACACAUACUCUACUUAUCGUAACCCAAUUUCACACUCAAAGACUUCACAUAUGCAAGACGCACUCAAAGAUUUCAUAGAUAACAAUACAUACUCAAAGAUUUUGUAGAUAACAAUACAUACGAAACCAUAUAAGAUUAUAACGAUUGACUUCAAAAUGAUAACAACUGCCUCAUCAUUCUUCAUCUCGUGUCUUCUUAAUAAACAGCAGCCUCCAAGUUCUUCUUCAUCCCCUGUCAAACCACCCAACCCAAACAACCAUCGAUUUCUGUCAAAAAUAAAACCCAAAUCACCCCUCAAUGGCUCAUGUUGAUAUUCACCACCCCUACAGCCCCUUUCCCAUGAACAGAUAAACAAAAUCCCAGAAGAAACAUUUUUUUUACCUGUGGCUGAUCGGGACUGCCAAAACAAGGGGGAAACAUCGGGAUUGUCGAGCAAACACCACCGAGGCCCUGACCAGUGACGUAUGGCUGCCAACCGGACUUCCAUCGGACCUCUUUUGCCUCUCGUACCACACCCACGCAUCUCCCCUUUGCACACCGCUGCUGGAAUCGAAGCAAGCAGUCGAGAAGCUGCUUGAACAGCAGCCUCGCUGCCUCCCUUUUUCUUCCCCUUCGGACUCCUCGACCCGGAGACUCCUCCCUCUUCGCGAAUCAACCGACGAAGCGCUCCUGCGAGAUUUCGUCUACCUUCGUUCACUGCUUCCGUUCAUAUGCCUUCGUAGCCUUUAUUCCAUUCUUUCCCCUUAACCCGAUCGGUAUCCUUUUUCCUUCCGUCCCCUUCACGAUUGCACCCCCGAAACCAACGGCAGCGCCGCUGCCUUCUUGUUCGUUUUUCCCUCUCUUCGUUCGUUUGAUUUCAGUCGUUCAUUCCCGUUCCAAUCGCCUUUUCUUCGUUCAUAUUUCCUCCCCGAUCGAUCAAAUGAACAAAGACAUAAAAAGCCCUAAGUUACAUUAUAAUUGUGAAAUAACCAACCUGCCCCCAUUAUUAAAACACUUAUUCAAAAUAAGUCCAAUCCCCAAACCUUAAACCCAUUUAUUUAAAACAACCGAAAUGGACCCGAAAGUAUCUCAAAAAUUCAAAAAUUGUGGAUUUGCAGUUUCUCACGUCAAGCUUCUCAAACAAAACAAAUUCAAACGAUUGAAACUCACGCUUCAAGGGUAAGUGCUUACGACCCCGUUUUUAAUAUUUUAAUUAUUUCAUUUCCUUUUUAUGCAAAAAUAUAAUAACUCUAGUUUAUAAAAUUAUUAUUAUUUAACAAUUUACCAUAAUGUUAC
rnacentral:lncRNA from 1 species